rnacentral:rRNA from 1 species
AAUGAACGUUGGCGGCGUGGAUUAGGCAUGCAAGUCGAACGAGAUCUGUAGCAAUACAGUGAAAGUGGCGAAAGGGAGAGUAAUACGUAGGUACCUGCCCUCGGGUCUGGAAUAGCUGCGGGAAACUGCAAUUAAUACCGGAUGACGUCUCUGGACCAAAGGUGUGAUUCCGCCAGAGGAUGGGCCUGCGUCCUAUCAGCUAGUUGGUGUGGUAAAGGCGCACCAAGGCGAAGACGGGUACGGGGUGUGAGAGCAUGCCCCCGCUCACUGGGACUGAGUUAGUGCCCAGACACCUACGGGUGGCUGCAGUCGAGAAUCUUCCGCAAUGGGCGAAAGCCUGACGGAGGGACGCCGCGUGUGGGAUGAAGGCCUUCGGGUUGUAAACCACUGUCAGUGGGGAGCAAGUGCAUCGGGGUUCUCCCCGGUGUUUGAGCGAUCCGCAGAGGAAGCACAGGCUAAUUCCGUGCCAGCCGCCGCCGUAAUAC